rnacentral:rRNA from 1 species
CCCUUAGAUGUUCUGGGCCGCACGCGCGCUACACUGUUCGACGCAGCGAGUCUUAACCUUGACCGAAAGGUUUGGGUAAUCUUCAGCAAAGUCGAACGUGAGGGGGAUCGAUCAUUGCAAUUAUUGAUCGUGAACGAGGAAUUCCUAGUAAGUGCAAGUCAUCAGCUUGCGCUGAUUACGUCCCUGCCCUUUGUACACACCGCCCGUCGCUACUACCGAUUGAAUGGUUUAGUGAGAUCUCUGGAUUGACGCUGGCUAGGGGGCGACCCUUGGCCAGGCUGUCGAGAAACUGCUCAAACUUGAUCAUUUAGAGGAAGUAAAAGUCGUAACA